UACGGAGGAUGCAAGCGUUAUCCGGAAUGAUUGGGCGUAAAGCGUCCGCAGGUGGCUAUGUAAGUCUGCUGUUAAAGAGUGAGGCUCAACCUCAUAAGAGCAGUGGAAACUACAUGGCUAGAGUGCGUUCGGGGCAGAGGGAAUUCCUGGUGUAGCGGUGAAAUGCGUAGAUAUCAGGAGGAACACCGGUGGUGUAGACGGCUUUCUGGACCGUAACUGACGCUGAGGAGCGAAAGCAUGGGGAGCGAACAGG
rnacentral:rRNA from 1 species